UCCCCUCUUCUCCUCUCCUCCCCACCGCCUCCCGCCUCCUCUCCUCCCCACCGCCUCCCGCCUCUCGAAGAAGCAGCAACCCCCGCCCGCGCCCAGAAGCCCAAGCCCGCCACCAAGCGGCAGUUCCAGGCGUUGCGGGGCGGCAGGGGGCUCAGCCUCAACCCGCUAACCCUAGCUGCACCCCACACCGCCGCCGGCUCCUUCUCCCGGCCUGCUAGUCCCUGCCGUCCGCGUCCACGGCGUCGUCAUCGUCGUCCUCGCGUGCACACGGCAAGAGGAGCACGGGAGACGUGGCUGCGCCGCCGCCUCCGCCUCUGCUCGCCCUCGCGUUGCUGUGCCGUUUCCUCCUCCACGCCCCCUUGGUGCUCAUCAGGAAGAGCGCGGCUCGCAGUCGGCCCUCGCGAGGGAGUACCGGACGCGCGCAUGAGGGAGUGGCGGACGCGCGCAGGAGGGAGCAGUGGAGCAAGGUGGCGCCGGUCGAGGGAGCACUCAAGACACUUGUAGUGGUUCAUAAUUUUGGGAGAGCUUAAUUUUACACAAAGGGGGCGUAUUAUGCAGAUCUCAUACUUCAAGGAUGACUCCAGUUCAGUUGCUUGGGACUGUUACGCAUAGGUGCGCACAUAUGGUUAGUUUUUGGAGGAAAGAUUGGAAUGCUCUAGGAUCCUGAUAUAUGAUGUUACAGCCGAGCAUUUAUACAAAUAAGCUCAAGGUCCUGAAAAGCAAGUAGGGAGCUGCGAAUGACAACUACUUGCUGCAAUAUGCUCUAGCUUUUGGUAUGAAGAUAGGUGAUUUUGAGUGGCUAAUUUGGCAGUAAUGCAAUGGAGGUGUGGCUGCGUCUUUCGAGAGUGGUGUCGAUAACAAGAGGCUUCUAUGACAAUGGAGGCAGCGACAAGCACAUAUAUGCUUUAGCUUUGAGGCACUGAAUUGUGGGUGUAGAAGCUAGAGAGAAUUGGUUUUGUAAGGAUACAACCCUUGAAAGCUAUAGAUAUUCCUACAGGUAAACAGAUACACUACUGGUAUUGUUACACAUCAGGGAAGUCCUCAUCUACUACUGGUUUGACAACAAUUGUUAUCAAAUAACCUGAAGCGGGUGAAUUUUGUAUGGAGGUAAUAUAAAUGCAGUUGAUCAUACCAUACCGCUACUCGAAUAAAAAUGCCUAUCGUAGUGUCUAUAUACAUUCGUAUGUUAUAGUCUAUUUGAAAUCUCUAAAAAGACUUAUAUUUAGGAACGGAGGGAGUAGUAUAGUAAUGAAUGUGAUCAAGCAGUUUGCAUCAACACAUUGUUUGGACUAUAUUUUGUGGCAUAUAUUUUACCACCUGCUUUCUACCAAAAGAAACGAUAAAUAAAGGUGGACAAUAAUAGGUUACAAUAGUGAUCAAAGGAAGAGAAAUACUUUUGCAAGUCAUGCAUGGAUUUUUUUACCAGACAAAUAUUUUCUUCAGAUGUAUAAUCAUAUUUUUCCGAGAUAUAUAUAUUUCUUUUUGCUCAUCACCUGAUCCCGCCACCGCGGCCCAUGGAGGCACUGCUGCAGGGGCCGCAGCUGCCACCAUUCCUGUCCAAGACAUACGAUCUCGUCAGUGAGCCGCAGCUGGACGGGGUCAUCUCCUGGGGUCCUUCGUCAUGUGGAAUCCUUCCACCUUCGACCGGGACAUGCUCCCGCACAACUUCAAGCACAAGAACUUCUCCAGCUUCGUCAGGCAGCUCAACACCUAUGAGGCACUCUGUUUCUGUUUUGGUAUCUGCCACUCUGUUUUGGAUGUUCUAUUUUUCUUUUUGUUCCUUCUGGUUUCUGCUGAUGUACUCAACCCAAAUCUGUUGUGUAUAUAUAUACUCUUUGUACUUCCCUUGAUAAUUUUAGUGAGCGGAGUUGUGGUCUGUAAUGCCAAUUUGGUGUAUCUUUUGUUAGCAGAAUCGUGGUCUGUAAUGCCAAUUUGGCCUUUCCCGAAAAAACUGGUUUAUCUUGAUCACUGAAAUAAUCCUGAUUCCUAAGGAGUUGAUCCUGUGAUGGGUUUACUAAGAUGGACUGAACAGAUAAUACAAUUUUAUCCAUAUGUAUUUCAUCUUCUUUUGCACCUAUUAAUUAUACAUCUAGAUACAUACAUUCCUCCAACAAGUAUUUCCGGAUGGAGGUUGUAUUUUUUUGCCUUUAUUUGCAUUUUACCCUCAAAUAGAUGGACAUGACUUGAUUUGAGUUAUAACUCAUCAUUGAUUGCAUAGGAGUAGGCUGGGGUAACAGUGUCCAGUACCACACACUUUCUUAUCAAGUUUGUUACAUUCAUUUCAUCUGUAUCUCCUCUUUUGUUCUACAAUUCAUUUUGCUUAUGAUUUCUUAUUGUAGUGGCAAAUUUUAAUUGCUUGGGCUGUUGCUGCUAUGAAAAUAUAUUUCUAUCUUUUAGGUCUCUUACUUUAGUCUCUCACUCUCUCUCUCUGAUUUCAUAAUGAUAUGAACUUCUAUUAUGCUGCAAGAUUAGAGAGAUUCUUUUCAAACUCAACCUGUGUCACAAGCUACUUGGUUACUUCGCAUUACUUGGAGGAUGCAUGGAUGAGGACUGAAUUAUGUGUAGCUAUGAUAUCUUUUAAUUUUGGUCAUAUAUGUAUCUUACAAGAAUUCCAGUAUAUAUUUUGGUCAUCUGUAUCAGAAUAAGGAUGCACCUUUAAUUAUUACAACCUCCAAGCCCAUCAUUUG